rnacentral:lncRNA from 1 species
AAAAAAAAAACUCAAGAGAGACUUUGUGGCCAUGGCAGCCUCUCUCCAAUCCACCGCUACAUUCCUCCAGUCGGCGAAGAUCGCCACCGCUCCUUCUCGCGGAAGUUCUCACCUCCGAUCGACUCAAGCCGUCGGCAAAUCUUUUGGGCUCGAAACUUCCUCGGCUCGCCUCACUUGCUCCUUCCAGUCUGACUUUAAGGACUUCACCGGUAAAUGCUCCGACGCUGUCAAAAUCGCCGGAUUCGCUCUUGCCACCUCUGCUCUCGUCGUCUCGGUAACUUUCUUUAAUCUCCGACUCUCCUUUAAAACUAUAGAUUAAUCAAGAAAAAAAAGGAGAAUUGAGUAACAGAGAAGAAGAGUAUUUUGUUGUGUUUGUGAUAACAUGUUUAUGAUUUGCAUUACUAUGUAUCGAAGUUGGCACUUGAGAACACCUAAACCAAUAACAGACUCGGAUAGUAUAAUAGAAGGAGAAACCGCUAUUCCAAUUCUGUAAUCUUCGAUUCAUGUAGAUACAAUCUUCUUGGAUCAGUGAGUUUGAUUUAAAGUUGCUUGUUUCUCGUGUAAUGAAAGGGAGCAAGUGCGGAGGGAGCUCCAAAGAGAUUGACCUAUGAUGAGAUUCAGAGCAAGACAUACAUGGAAGUGAAAGGAACUGGAACGGCUAACCAGUGCCCUACUAUUGACGGUGGCUCUGAGACUUUCUCGUUCAAACCCGGAAAGUAUGCAGGAAAGAAGUUCUGCUUCGAGCCUACUUCCUUCACCGUCAAGGCAGACAGUGUAAGCAAGAACGCUCCUCCAGAGUUCCAGAACACAAAGCUCAUGACCCGUCUUACCUACACCCUUGACGAGAUCGAAGGACCCUUCGAGGUUCGAUUUCGCGUCUUUGCUUAGACUGCAAGAAAAAACUCUGCUUAGGGUUAGGGUUUGUGAUUGAUCGUCUCUUUAAUGAGCAGGUUGCUUCAGACGGAAGCGUCAAUUUCAAGGAAGAAGAUGGAAUCGACUAUGCUGCAGUCACAGUCCAACUUCCAGGAGGUGAACGUGUGCCAUUCCUUUUCACAGUCAAACAGCUUGACGCCUCAGGCAAACCAGACAGCUUCACCGGAAAAUUCUUGGUUCCAUCGUACCGUGGCUCUUCCUUCUUGGACCCAAAGGGCCGUGGUGGAUCCACAGGAUAUGACAACGCCGUGGCAUUGCCAGCUGGAGGCAGAGGAGAC